GGGGCUGACCGGUUUUGACGGGGUGAGCAUCUGGCAGGUAAGCACGUAGCGCAUUGGGAUGUUGGCGCUUUAAACUUAAUGCUCAAAACUUUUAUUUGGCGAAAAUAACUUCGCUAUGGCUGCUUAAUCAGGAAGAUUAAGCAUUAUGCCAUUGUCUCGCAAGUGUUAGCUUAACCGCGUUUGCAUCAGAGGCAUCAUUAGGAAAAGCUCUUUAUCCAACCGCCUUUGUUGGUUAAUUGAACAUAAUGGGAUAAGAAUUGUUUUGGUACGUUUUGCGACCUAAAUAAAUUACGAAAAUUAACGCAGAACUAAACGUGUAGAAAGCUUGACCAUUCCAUUUCCGGACCAGGGUUCGAAUCCCUGCAGCUCCACUA
rnacentral:tmRNA from 1 species